AAGUCGUAACAAGGUCUCCGUAGGUGAACCUGCGGAGGGAUCAUUAACACUUUACAAAAGGCAAAGUAGACUACUGCACCUAGUGUAACUAGUCUCACUUUACUUUUUAACCAACUCGUGAACGAAACUGUAUGUCCUACCUCCUUAGCUGUUCAUUCGAUCAGCUAGGUGUGUUUUUAUACUGUAUCUAUUGUUUUAUUACAAACCAUAAUACCAACAGUUGUAACAAAGGUCAUAGCAUUAAAUUGCUAUGUACUUGUAACUAUAACAAAAAUGUAAGCACAACUCUUAGCAACGGAUAUCUCGGUUCUC
rnacentral:misc_RNA from 1 species